rnacentral:lncRNA from 1 species
CACACUCUCGAGCUUUCCUUCUCGACCAUGUGAGAUAUGCUAGAAAGGUAAAGCACUAAGACUUCCAGUGCAAAACAAAGAUUGGACGUUAUUAACAAACUGCAUACGAAAAAGUCUGUUCCACAUCAACCUUUCUUAAUCCUCUCUCUCUCUCUUAUCUUUUUGUUAUUAUUCAAUGGACUAAUGAACUUGGAGUGCAUGUUGAGCCAAGGAGAUGGACCCAACACCCUCUCUUGGCAGUGAAAGGAUGUGGCAUUGGGUCCUGUGGGGAAUGGG